CAGCGCCACGAGUGGCAAUCAGCAUUACUGGGCCUAAAGCGUCCGUAGCCGGUUCGGAAAAUUCUUUGUGAAAUCGUCGGGCUCAACCUGACGGCGUGCAGAGGACACUACCGAACUUGGGACCGGAGAGGGGUCUGAGGAAUUAGAGGGGGAGCGGUAAAAUGCGAUAAUCCUUCUAAGACCACCUGUGGCGAAGGCGUCAGACCAGAACGGAUCCGACGGUGAGGGACGAAAGCCAGGGGAGCGAACCGGAUUAGAUACCCGAGUAGUCC
rnacentral:rRNA from 1 species